GGAGCAAACAGGAUUAGAUACCCUGGUAGUCCACGCUGUAAACGAUGUCGAUUUGAAGGUUGUUCCCUUGAGGAGUGGCUUUCGGAGCUAACGCGUUAAAUCGACCGCCUGGGGAGUACGGCCGCAAGGUUAAAACUCAAAUGAAUUGACGGGGGCCCGCACAAGCGGUGGAGCAUGUGGUUUAAUUCGAUGCAACGCGAAGAACCUUACCUACUCUUGACAUCCAGAGAACUUAGCAGAGAUGCUUUGGUGCCUUCGGGAACUCUGAGACAGGUGCUGCAUGGCUGUCGUCAGCUCGUGUUGUGAAAUGUUGGGUUAAGUCCCGCAACGAGCGCAACCCUUAUCCUUUGUUGCCAGCGAUUCGGUCGGGAACUCAAAGGAGACUGCCGGUGAUAAACCGGAGGAAGGUGGGGAUGACGUCAAGUCAUCAUGGCCCUUACGAGUAGGGCUACACACGUGCUACAAUGGCGUAUACAAAGAGAAGCGACCUCGCGAGAGCAAGCGGAACUCAUAAAGUACGUCGUAGUCCGGAUUGGAGUCUGCAACUCGACUCCAUGAAGUCGGAAUCGCUAGUAAUCGUAGAUCAGAAUGCUACGGUGAAUACGUUCCCGGGCCUUGUACACACCGCCCGUCACACCAUGGGAGUGGGUUGCAAAAGAAGUAGGUAGCUUAACCUUCGGGAGGGCGCUUACCACUUUGUGAUUCAUGACUGGGGUGAAGUCGUA
rnacentral:rRNA from 1 species